AGGGCACACAAUGGAUGCCUAGACGUAUAUUACCGAUGAAGGACGUGGAAGACUGCGAUAAGCUUCGGGUAGCUGUCAACAAGCUUUGAUCCGGAGAUUUCCGAAUGGGGAAACCCAGCACGAGUCAUGUCGUGUUGCUCUCAACUGAAUACAUAGGUUGUGUAGUGGGAACCACCUGAACUGAAACAUCUUAGUAGGGUGAGGAAGAGAAAAUAAAUAAUGAUUCUGGGAGUAGUGGCGAGCGAAACUGGAAGAGCCCAAACCUUUUAAGUUUCUACUUUGUAGAUAAGCUGAUAGGCGAAUACUUAAUAAGGGGUUGUGAAAUUACAUAAGACCAAGUCAGAAUGCUUAACUUUGUUGAGUAGUCUGACUUGCGAUAAAAGGCUAUCAACUUUUAGUAAGGUAAGAAAUUUGCGUGGUUAGCAGAAUAGUUUGAAUGACUAGCCAAAGAACGUGAAAGCCGUGUACGCGAAAACGACGCUGACCUUAUGUAUGUUUUAUCGAGUAGGACGGGGCACGAGAAACCCUGUUUGAAUCUGGCUGGACCACCAGCCAAGGCUAAAUAUAAUAUACGAUCGAUAGUGAACUAGUACAGCGAUGGAAAGGUGAAAAGAACCCCGGGAGGGGAGUGAAAUAGAACCUGAAAUUGUGUGCCUACAAGGAGUCGGAGCAGUAUUUAUACUGUGACGGCGUGCUUUUUGUAGAACGAUCCAGCGAGUUAAUUUCAUGCGCCAGGUUAAGUCAAGUGACGGAGCCACAGUGAAAGCGAGCCUGAAUAGGGCGAUAAGUGCAUGGGAUUAGACCCGAAACCGGGUGACCUAACCAUGAGCAGGUUGAAGCUGCGGUAACACGCAGUGAAGGACCGAACCAGUUUGCGCAGUAAAGCAUUUGGAUGACUUGUGGUUAGCGGUGAAAUGCCAAUCGAACUCGGAGAUAGCUGGUUCUCCUCGAAAUAGCUUUAGGGCUAGCGUCAUGUAAUAUAGCCAACGGGGGUAGAGCUCUGUAAACGACUGGGGCGGGCAACUGUACCCACCGUUAACAAACUACGAAUACCGUUGGUGGUACCAUGGCAGUUAGAACAUCGGGGCUAAGCUCGGUGCUCAAAAGGGAAACAGCCCAGACCAUCAUCUAAGGUCCCUAAAUUAACACUAAGUGGGAAACAAGGUGAAAUUUCUUAAACAGCGAGGAUGUUGGCUUAGAAGCAGCCAUUCAUUUAAAGAGUGCGUAACAGCUCACUCGUCAAGAGAUUUUGCGUGGAAAAUGUAACGGGGCUAAAGUGUUAUACCGAAGAUAUGGAUUUCGUUAUUCCUACGGGUUUAACGGAGUGGUAGAGGAGCGUUCCUAUCGGCAGUGAAGCUCAAUCGUAAGGUUGGGUGGAGCGUUAGGAAGUGAGAAUGCUGGAAUGAGUAACCAUAAGAAAGGUGAGAAUCCUUUCGGCCGUAAGAGCGAGGUUUCCAGGGCUACUGUAAUAAUCCCUGGGUUAGUCGGGCCUAAGCCGAGGCGUAGCAGCGUAGGCGAUGGACAUCAGGUUAAUAUUCCUGAACCGGUUAUAAUUUGUAUACUGUGUACGGUAAAUUAGUCGAAGCGGAUUAUUGGUAUAUAUCCGUCCAACUUAGCGGGAACGCAAAAGGAGUGAAAGUUAAUCUACGGAUUAACGAUUUUGAUGAAAGUACUGGCUAGAAAAGCAGAUAUACGCGUGGUUAUAGCCGCCCGUACCGCAAACCAACACAGGUGCUCGAGUCGAGUAGACUCAGGCUUACGAGAGACCCUUCGCUAAGGAACUCGGCAAAACAGCGACCGUAACUUCGGGAUAAGGUCUGCCUCCGCAUCAUUCGAUGCGAGUCGUGUUUCAAGCAAUUAGGUUAAGAUUAAUGGUAUAUAUGAGUAUCUUAAACUUCUUUACCGAGAUAGAACAAGUCAAAUGGCUUAGCUUGGAACGUGGCAAACUCGUAUCAAACGAUGCGGAGGCCGCAGCAAAAGAGCCCACGGAACUGUUUACCAAAAACACAGGUCUCUGCGAACACGAAAGUGGAUGUAUAGGGGCUGACUCCUGCCCAGUGCUGGAAGGUUAAGGGGAGUGCUUUACGGUACGAACUGAAGCCCCAGUGAACGGCGGCGGUAACUAUAACCGUCCUAAGGUAGCGAAAUUCCUUGUCAGGUAAGUUCUGACCCGCACGAAUGGAGUAAUCAUGUGGGCACUGUCUCGGCGAAGGACUCGGUGAAAGUGCAUUGGCGGUAAAGAUGCCGUCUGUCCAUGCCAGGACGAGAAGACCCCAUGGAGCUUUACUACAGCUUUACAUUGACACGGGUUACAUCAUGUGUAGCAUAGGUGGGAGGCUUUGAAGCAGAUACGCCAGUAUUUGUGGAGCCACAGGUGAAAUACCACCCUUGAUGUAGUCUUUGUCUUACUAUUGCCGUUAUCCGGUAAUGGGACCGUGUAUGGUGGGUAGUUUAACUGGGGCGGUUGCCUCCUAAAGAGUAGCGG
rnacentral:rRNA from 1 species